rnacentral:rRNA from 1 species
UACGGAGGAUCCAAGCGUUAUCCGGAUUUAUUGGGUUUAAAGGGUGCGUAGGCGGCCUAUUAAGUCAGGGGUGAAAGACGGUAGCUUAACUAUCGCAGUGCCUUUGAUACUGAUGGGCUUGAAUGUACUAGAGGUAGGCGGAAUGUGACAAGUAGCGGUGAAAUGCAUAGAUAUGUCACAGAACACCAAUUGCGAAGGCAGCUUACUAUGGUAUUAUUGACGCUGAGGCACGAAAGCGUGGGGAUCAAACAGG